AGAUGGAGAUUCCAGCUUAGGAAAAUAUUAAAACAGAGAUUUCAAAGGGACUUCGGAAAAUGCUUAAAGGCUCCGCACUUCCCCAGAUGCAACACGAGGCCACAGAACAGGAGAGAUUAGAUAGCCAGAAGAGUGUUUCCCACCGAGACUGUUACAGGCAAAAAAAAAAAAAAAAAUCCACUCUUCACCCCUCUGACAACAGUGGGAUUUUCACCAUCAUUAUGCCACCUGACAUGGAUAUUUAAUUGGCCAGCAUAUAGUCAGAGAUGGCUUCACCAUGGAGUCACGCACAUGAGAACACUAGACUGUGGUCCCACACAUUGACUGUAAUGGUUUUCCCAUGUACCCUGGCUCCUGGUUGAUCCGGAGGUUUUAAAACAGACCUUUAAGCUACAGGGUUUUCCUUGCCCUUUGAGAAACAUCUUGCUUGAAUCAAGAAAAGUCAUCCAUCCUAUGUCUUCUUGUACAGAUCUUACCUAUCCCAGACGAGCAUUGGUCAACGGCCUGGAUCCCAUAUACCUCAAGACUGUGGGAAGUCUGAAUGAUAGGUAACCCUCCUCAUACAGGGAGAGCAAGACAGUGAUGAGCAGGACUUCAGACCUAAAUACACCUAGAUAAGGUGUAGCUGCGUAGCAUAUUGUAAAAAUCUACUGCACACUGGUCUGUGCUUUGUGUAUUAUAAUAACCCAAACCUGGGUGGAAGGAUGAGAAAGGCUUUUCUUAUGGGCAUAUGUAAAUAGACAAGUGCCAUAAUUAACAACGACCAGCAGCAGUGGCAUUCCUUUGUGAAAAGCCCUGAAGCCAUUAAAUUGGCAAGUGAAUUGCUAGGCUAUUUGACCUACAGUUCAUUCCUAACAUAAGCGCUGAGGCUGUGAAAAACCUGAGCAAAGUGUUCGUAAAGACAGUAGGGUUUGCACCAACUCUUUAAGAGGAUGCAGAGCUGUAAGCAUAAUUUGCCCCUUCCAGAGGGGAAGCAACAGUCUUAUGCGCCUCAGAAGGUAUAAGCAAUUGUAGGGGCUUUUUAGUUGCCAUAAAUAUUCAGGCAAGCAAAAGCCAGUGCUUUGUUUUCAAAGCACUGAUUAAAACACUCCAUUGUGCUGAACUUUGAGUAGAGGUUGUUCCUAAAGCUUAUUUUUGAUUACCAGCUCACCACAAAAUCCAUUAUUGCCCACUUUUAAUGCCGACUAUCAAAACCAUUUGAUAGCUACAGAUGUUUAUUGUGCUGAACACAGUGAGACACUAACAAAUCUGCUGUAACAAGAAGCAACCCAUUAUAGUAAGAGAAGACUUCACUCUGAAACCAAUAUCUUUAGACGUCAGUCUGAAAUACAGCCUACUGACAUGUUUUCUGCACAGCUGGCAAUUUUACUGUAUGACACAACAAAUCUCUAUGUGAAAUAGCUUUUUUUUAUUCUCUACUAAAAAAAAACAACAACAACA